GCCGUAGCUCAGUGGUAGAGCAUCUGCUUUGCAUGCAGGAGGUCCUGGGUUCAGUCCCUGGAAUCUCCA